GACGAACGCUGGCGGCGUGCUUAACACAUGCAAGUCGAACGGUAAGGCUCCAGCUUGCUGGGGUACACGAGUGGCGAACGGGUGAGUAACACGUGGGUGACCUGCCCUGCACUUCGGGAUAAGCCAGGGAAACUGGGUCUAAUACCGGAUAGGACCGCACCGUGAGGGUGUGGUGGAAAGUUUUUUCGGUGUGGGAUGGGCCCGCGGCCUAUCAGCUUGUUGGUGGGGUAAUGGCCUACCAAGGCGGCGACGGGUAGCUGGCCUGAGAGGGUGGACGGCCACAUUGGGACUGAGACACGGCCCAGACUCCUACGGGAGGCAGCAGUGGGGAAUAUUGCACAAUGGGCGGAAGCCUGAUGCAGCGACGCCGCGUGGGGGAUGACGGCCUUCGGGUUGUAAACUCCUUUCACCAUCGACGAAGGGUUUCUGACGGUAGAUGGAGAAGAAGCACCGGCUAACUACGUGCCAGCAGCCGCGGUAAUACGUAGGGUGCGAGCGUUGUCCGGAAUUACUGGGCGUAAAGAGCUCGUAGGUGGUUUGUCGCGUCGUCUGUGAAAUUCCGGGGCUUAACUCCGGGCGUGCAGGCGAUACGGGCAUAACUUGAGUACUGUAGGGGAGACUGGAAUUCCUGGUGUAGCGGUGAAAUGCGCAGAUAUCAGGAGGAACACCGGUGGCGAAGGCGGGUCUCUGGGCAGUAACUGACGCUGAGGAGCGAAAGCAUGGGGAGCGAACAGGAUUAGAUACCCUGGUAGUCCAUGCCGUAAACGGUGGGCGCUAGGUGUGGGUUUCCUUCCACGGGAUCCGUGCCGUAGCUAACGCAUUAAGCGCCCCGCCUGGGGAGUACGGCCGCAAGGCUAAAACUCAAAGGAAUUGACGGGGGCCCGCACAAGCGGCGGAGCAUGUGGAUUAAUUCGAUGCAACGCGAAGAACCUUACCUGGGCUUGACAUAUACAGGAUCGCGCCAGAGAUGGUGUUUCCCUUGUGGCUUGUAUACAGGUGGUGCAUGGUUGUCGUCAGCUCGUGUCGUGAGAUGUUGGGUUAAGUCCCGCAACGAGCGCAACCCUUGUCUUAUGUUGCCAGCACGUUGUGGUGGGGACUCGUAAGAAACUGCCGGGGUUAACUCGGAGGAAGGUGGGGAUGACGUCAAAUCAUCAUGCCCCUUAUGUCCAGGGCUUCACACAUGCUACAAUGGUCGGUACAGUGGGUUGCCAGUCCGUGAGGGCGAGCUAAUCCCGCAAAGCCGGUCUCAGUUCGGAUCGGGGUCUGCAACUCGACCCCGUGAAGUCGGAGUCGCUAGUAAUCGCAGAUCAGCAACGCUGCGGUGAAUACGUUCCCGGGCCU
rnacentral:rRNA from 1 species